UUUGCAGAGCGAUGUUAAUGUCGGCAUGAUAAAAAUGAGGGUCACAAAGUCCGUUUGCUGACAUACUCACACUUCUUGAGGGGGUUCCGUGCAAUUCCCCAGGAUGUUUCCGUCACUGAAUGGUUCUACUGGCAGGAGGUAAUGAGAAGAAAGAAAGGAAAAACAAAGACCUUUCAUAAAACCAUUUAAAAUACAUUGCAAGGAUCAACAAGGGGAGUUAGUCCCAGAUUUCAAAAAACCACCCUGGAUGCCGCGAGUGGCUGCACUCCCCACAGAAGGCCUACAGCAACACGUGUUUGUUGUCGGUCAAGUGCCAGACGAAGGGCAGAGCACUGAGAAUCUGGGAAGUAUCCUUUUAAAGUUGCCUCUGGGAAAAAUUCUAAAAAGAGAUCUUGAAGCUUAUAAUAUAUUCUUCAUUUUAUUCUUUAAUCUUGCUUCCUUUUUAUUUUUGCUUAUAGCAACAUCCAAGGGUGACUGUGGUCAGAAAAUACUUCUCUUGUAAAGUUCUCUUUUGGCAGUCUUGCAUCUAUCAUUCCAUAAUUUGGUUUUUAUUUUAAAUUUAUCAAAGUACAUUUCUUACAAAAAGCAAUGUAAAGAGCACAGGCUACCGCUGAAGUCAAGUGAGUAAGAGUUUCGGAUUGUGUUUUACAGAAUGACAGCCAGGGUUUGAAGUCUAGUUUCAGCAAUUCCUAGCUGUGCGACCUUGGGAGAGUCUGUAUUUAUUUCCUCAAACAUAAAAAGAGACAAUAACAGCAUGAUGGCACAAGGUUAUUAUUGGAAUUAUAUGAGCAGAAAUAAAAGCACUUACUAGGAUGUCUGGCAUGAAGCAGGGCCUCAAACUAUGUUAAUCAUCAUUACUAUUACUAAUAAAUAACUCUCCUUUAAGGAGUGAAUUUGUGUUAUCGUAUUUUUCUUCCUCAGGUGGCUCAAAAUACAAAAUAUUUUAUACCCCAUGUGCCUGGAUUACAAAUUCCUACAAUUAAGACUUAAAGAAAAAUAAUCUCAGAAUGCAUGCUCUUGGAAGAUCUGAAAUGAAAUAUAGUAACUAGAGAUUAAUAUUUUAUAAACAACCAUCAGACACAUGUCUGUGG